GGAAUCUUCCACAAUGGGCGAAAGCCUGAUGGAGCAACGCCGCGUGCGUGAUGAAGGGUUUCGGCUCGUAAAACACUGUUGUAAGAGAAGAAUGACAUUGAGAGUAACUGUUCAAUGUGUGACGGUAUCUUACCAGAAAGGAACGGCUAAAUACGUGCCAG
rnacentral:rRNA from 1 species